rnacentral:rRNA from 1 species
AGAUUGAACGCUGGCGGCAUGCCUUACACAUGCAAGUCGAACGGUAGAGUAGCAAUACUUGAGAGUGGCGAACGGGUGAGUAAUAUAUCGGAACGUGCCCAGUCGUGGGGGAUAACGUAGAGAAAUUUACGCUAAUACCGCAUACGAUCUAAGGAUGAAAGCGGGGGACUCGCAAGAGCCUCGCGCGAUUGGAGCGGCUGAUAUCAGAUUAGGUUGUUGGUGAGGUAAAAGCUCACCAAGCCGACGAUCUGUAGCUGGUUUGAGAGAACGACCAGCACACGUGGACUGAGACACGGCCCAGACUCCUACGGGAGGCAGCAGUGGGGAAUUUUGGACAAGUGGCGAAAGCCGUGACUCAGCAAUCGCCGCGUGCAGGAAGACGGCUUGGUGUAACUGUC